GAGGAUUACACUGUCUCCCUCCCCCAAUCAAUGAAACUGACCUCCCCGUGAAGAAGCGGGGAUAAACAUAUAAGACGAGAAGACCCUAUGGAGCUUUAAACACACCACUACUUAUCUAAAUCUACUCCAUCCAAGACAGAUAAAACUAAUGUGCGUUUUCAGUUGGGGUGACUGCGGAGCAUAAUAAAACCUCCACGAUGAAAACUAAUCCAAGAACAACAGUUCAAAGAAUCAAUAAAUUGACAUCAAUUGACCCAAAUAAAAUUAUUUGAUCAACGAACCAAGUUACCCUAGGGAUAACAGCGCAAUCCAUUUCAAGAGCUCAUAUCGACAAAUG
rnacentral:rRNA from 1 species